rnacentral:tRNA from 1 species
GAGCUAGUAGUUUAAUGAAAGAAAAGAACUCUAAUUUUGUAAUUUAGAAGUGGUGGAUCCCUAGCUCA